UAGACCUUUGCUUCACAGAGAGUCAUACUUUGGGAGAAUAGAAACAUAAAAAAAUCUGAACAGGAGACCACUAUUGCCAGGUGCUGAGCUUUUCCCUUUUCCCUCUCUCAACAAGAGUAGAUCCUGGGACUGUGGGUAUGCUGUGAGUAAUCCUGGGGAUGCUAAUGAUAGCUGUGAGCAGAAUUAAGCAUUUGCUGCUCUUGUGAAGCAGUAUCACGGAUGAGAUCACUUUAGCUUUCC
rnacentral:lncRNA from 1 species